rnacentral:rRNA from 1 species
GACGAACGCUGGCGGCGUGCUUAACACAUGCAAGUCGAACGAUGAAGCCCAGCUUGCUGGGUGGAAGAGUGGCGAACGGGUGAGUAACACGUGAGUAACCUGCCCCUGACUCUGGGAUAAGCGCUAGAAAUGGCGUCUAAUACUGGAUAUGACCUAUCACCGCAUGGUGUGUGGGUGGAAAGAUUUAUCGGUUGGGGAUGGACUCGCGGCCUAUCAGCUUGUUGGUGAGGUAAUGGCUCACCAAGGCGACGACGGGUAGCCGGCCUGAGAGGGGGACCGGCCACACUGGGACUGAGACACGGCCCAGACUCCUACGGGAGGCAGCAGUGGGGAAUAUUGCACAAUGGGCGCAAGCCUGAUGCAGCAACGCCGCGUGAGGGAUGACGGCCUUCGGGUUGUAAACCUCUUUUAGUGGGGAAGAAGCGAAAGUGACGGUACCUGCAGAAAAAGCACCGGCUAACUACGUGCCAGCAGCCGCGGUAA